rnacentral:rRNA from 1 species
UGCGUAGGCGGUUUGGUAAGUCUGAUGUGAAAUCUAUGGGCUCAACUCAUAGUCUGCAUCGGAAACUGCCGGGCUUGAGUGUGGGAGAGGUGAGUGGAAUUCCUGGUGUAGCGGUGAAAUGCGUAGAUAUCAGGAGGAACACCUGUGGCGAAAGCGGCUCACUGGACCACAACUGACGCUGAUGCACGAAAGCUAGGGGAGCAAACA